CGUCUUCCUCUCCGCCUUCUGGCCGCCGCAGCUUUACGUUUUCUGGUCCCCUCCAACCUGGCUUCUCGGCUUCGGAAGUAAAAUCCAACUUGCGGGGUGGACCAAGGCCAAGAGCGCCAAGAACCCAUCGGCUCCGCGUUAGCAGCGUGGCUCCCCAGGCCCUUCGGUUGGUUCAUCGCUCGCUCGAGGCCGGGAGUGCCGCUCUCACCUGCCUUGGCCCUUGUGUAGCACCUCCGCCCGCUUGGGUGAGCAGAGGGCUGAGACCGAAAGAGCACGGGAAUCCGAAGCCGCGUUCCUCCCUUCGCUCCUAACCUGUGUUCUAGGCCAGGCAUUCCCUGUCUUGCGUGAGUUUCUGUUCAGUCGCUCAUAGAAUCAAUGACUGAAUCCACAGGAGUGUGCUUCUACCGCCGAGAAGGGGCCUUGUUCUCAGACCAGGCCACCCAAGGUCCCUACACCCAGUAAGCUUGCAUUCUUGGGAGAGGUGGAAGACGAUAUCGGAAAAACAAUCAGAAACCGUAUAAUUGCCAAUCCUGCUCAAUGCUGUGAGGAAACAAAAUAGGGUGUUGUGCCAAAAGUGGGGAGCUUUUUUAUAUGGCUGGUCCUGGAAGGCCUCGUUGUGGAGGUGACAUUUUGAGAUGAAACCUAGAUGACGGACGAGCUGCUUCAACUACAGGUGUAAAUGUCCAGAAGGGCCUUCCGGGCAGUAGGCGUGCAAGUACCCCAGGUGAGGAGCCUCCUUGGGGAUGAGUAAGGCGACAGAGGCCAAAAGACCUGCUGUGAGCCUCAAUUCCUACUUUCCCAUGGUUGUGAGCGUCUUGUGAUGAGAUGAACAGCUAAGGGCUUGCAGGGAGGUGCUACUCCAGUGACGGUCAUCCCAGCGGUAGUCAACAAGCCGGGAAGAAUCUCAGGUGCACAGGCACAUGCUAAUGAGGACCCUGCCUACCUUCUCACCCUGUUCCCCAAGCACAUUAACUAUAACUGGUUUAGACCAUUUUUUAAUUUACUUUUAUUGUUGCGCAAGAGACACAUAGGAGUUUUAGAGAAAUUAUAAAACAUAAAUCAGCAAACAGGCAACAAUAAUAAUUUGUCAUCUCAUUACCUAGAAGUACCCUCUGUUCAUCUUCGGGUGAUGACUAAGGCUGCUGCAGCAUGUCUGACCUGCAAACAGCAGAAACCAAAGGUGAGCCCCCAAUGUCCAACCUUCCCCCGCGGUCCAGCCAGCCACCGGGUGGCAGGUGGAUCACAUUGGACCUCCCAGUCGUGGGUUGGGGGAGAUGUGUCUUCAUUGGAAUAGACACAUCAGCUAGAUACCAAGUUGCCUUCCUUGCCCGUGAUGCUUCUGCCAGCAUCACCAUCCAUGGACUGAAAAAUAGCUUAUUCACCGUCACAGACUUCCACCUAAAACGGCUUCUGAUGAAAUAAUGUUUCUCCCAAAAUGCAUGCUCUGUACCCGGUUACAAGUCUGCCUGUAAGAGAAGCCACUGAGACAGGUCUUGGCCACUUUGCUUUUUUGAAGGAUGGAAGGCUCCAAUUUUGGGCUUGUAACAAUGGAAGCCAAAAAGAAAUACGAGUAUGUUUGGAAAGGAAGGACCCCAAGCCUCCCCUAUAUGUAUUUUUUAUUCUUGAAAACCCAACUACAGCAAGUCCUCAAAUGUGCCACCCUCUUCCUUUCCUCCAAUCCUUUGUUUACCUUUUCCUAGACUUCACCUCACUCUACAGUAGGGCAGGUAAACUUUUGCUCCCAUGCAGGUGAGAAGCCUUCCUAGGAAUGAAUAAGGAGAGGGAGGCAAAUGUCACCCAGGGGAUGAGGGCACCUUCAAGUCUGGAAGUUAGACCCCAACCCAAAUUCUAGUCCUAGCUUUGUGACUUUGAGCUUAGUGACCUUGGACAAUUUACUGGACUCAUAUCGAACCUCAGUUUCUUCAUCUAUGAAACGAGACACUGCUUCCUACCCUGCCUGCUUCAGACCUGGUCGGAGCACCAUUCAGAAAUCCAUGAUGAGGUGGCUCUUUGCAGCCUGUAACGUACUGUGCACUUUUACUACAUUACUCGAAGGCGUCUGGACAUAUGACUGUGGAAGGCAGCUCAAGUCAGGCGUGAUGGGGAACGAAUGAGCUCUGAGCCAAAUGGUGCUCACCUUCACUCCAGAUGGCAGUAAUUAAAGGACUUAGCUUCAACUGCUCUCCUUUGAAAAAGUGUUUCUUCUCCCUGCCUUGCAUUUUGCAAUUCUUACAUUAACCUUUACAUUUAUUUUGUGUGUUUCUUAAUGUAAUUUUUGUCUUUUUCUUUUAAAUGAUUACAUUAGGUAAGAUAUUCACUUCAUCUGUUUAAUGAAUUCAUUCCUUCAGCAUUUCAGUGAGCAUUAUUGAUUGCCUGUUUCAUGCACUGCUCUCUCUCUCUCUCUCU